rnacentral:rRNA from 1 species
GUGAGGAAUAUUGGUCAAUGGACGAGAGUCUGAACCAGCCAAGUAGCGUGAAGGAUGACUGCCCUACGGGUUGUAAACUUCUUUUAUAUGGGAAUAAAAUGUUCCACGUGUGGGAUUUUGUAUGUACCAUAUGAAUAAGGAUCGGCUAACUCCGUGCCAGCAGCCGCGGUAAUACGGAGGAUCCGAGCGUUAUCCGGAUUUAUUGGGUUUAAAGGGAGCGUAGGUGGAUUGUUAAGUCAGUUGUGAAAGUUUGCGGCUCAACCGUAAAAUUGCAGUUGAAACUGGCAGUCUUGAGUACAGUAGAGGUGGGCGGAAUUCGUGGUGUAGCGGUGAAAUGCUUAGAUAUCACGAAGAACUCCGAUUGCGAAGGCAGCUCACUGGACUGCAACUGACACUGAGGCUCGAAAGUGUGGGUAUCAAACAGG